rnacentral:sRNA from 1 species
CUACUUCUUUGAUCCUGCAGGCUUUGUCUCUACCUUUAAGGAUCACUUCUUUCUGAGUCUUAUAAGAUAUUUAUGUCAUACCUAUGCCUGACUCUUCCAAUCCAUUCAAGGCUGUUGAGAAACGGCCCUCUUAACCCUAAUUGUGUUCUGACUGAGUUUCAGCCAGUAUGUUGGCUGGGUUUUUUUUCCCCCUUUGGAAACACAAAGCUCUUCUUCUGUUCAGAGGUAGUAUGCACAAGGAUGUCUGACCUAUUCCUUCCUUCAAGGUCACUAAGGAGGCUUCUAUAUCCAAGCUUAACACUUCAAAAUGGUCUAUGAUGACAUUUCUCACAACUUCUACAGCCAAACAAAUCCUCACCAUCCUUACCUUUAUCUGAACAUCUACUUUCAUUCUGACCCUCACAAGAGACUGCUCUUUGUUUUAUUUUUCCCUCAGUGUUGUUCCCUUGGAUAAUGACUUCCUCAUCUGAGUUAAUUUUAACAAACACCUUAAUUUAUAAAGAGCUAUAAAUACAAUUCCAUCAGUGGAGGUAGCGAUGAUAUCUGAAGAGAGAUGCUGUGGUGAGAAUUGGUAUUCUGACCUUCACUGGACACCUCCAGAACCCCAAAGGUAGUUAAUUGCUUUUGACAGAUUAACUAUAAAAUGUGUUUCCUGAGAUGAGGAAAAUCUAGAUUGUCUGAUUUAUUCCAACUAAAACUCGAGGUGCAGAUAACAACUAGUAAAGCUAAAUUCAUGCAUCUUUUAGAAGGAAAUUUUCAGUCACUCUCUCCAUGCUUUGGAAAAAUCCAUGAAUAAAUAAGUAAGCUAAUGCAAAUAGUUCCCACCUCACAGAUGAGUCCCUAAAAGGAUGUCCUUUUCGUAAAGUAGCCUACGUUUGGAAGUAACUCUCCUGGCUGACAGAAAUCUGACAGAAUUGGUGAGCAGAAUGAUCUUUGUUCAGUCUGCAAUCUGCACUCAUAAUUGAUGACAGCCUCCACAAAGAUACCAACACCAGAACCUGGUGCCAGGAUGUUUUCAAGGCAAUUUGUAUCAUAACGGUUCAUUUAUAAACAUGUACGAGCAGGCAUGCAUUGCACUGAAUAUAAUUGCUUCUUCCCAUUCUUAGGAUGUGGCAUAGCCUUUUAGAGAUCAAUACUCAGCCUAAAGCCAAUGGAUUAUUCAUUAAGGUUUUCCCAGCUGCUGAACAGGACCUGCUCCCAACAGGGUCUUCAGCAAAGCUGGCUUAGAGAAGAAGGAUCUGCCCAACACAGCCAGCCUGCCUGAGGAUUUUCUAGGUACAGAGGGUAAGAGGAGGCUAGACAGCUGCGAUAACCAUGAAUCAGAGCCAUGGCAGCUCUGAGUCAAGUCAGAAAGAUACUGACUCAUGAACACCAACCCUACUUCAUUUCUCUUUACAGAGUCUUUUCUUCAUAAGCCAAAUCCUAGAAGCCAUGUCCUCUAUAACAGCAGAAGUGCAGCAGGCCAAGAUGAUAGAAACUGAAGAAGCAUGUUGAAUGCCACAUGCCCUGGCUUUUGCUGCUAGGAAACUGGGAACAGCAGGAAGCCAUGUUGCAUCACAUUCACACUUGAAACAAAACAGGAAGAAGUUCUACCGCCUCGAAGCACGUAUAAACAAGCAGAGACAACUCUUCUACUCUCUUCAGUGUCCUGCGUCUAUACAACCCAAGACAAUGGCUCCCCUCGGAGUACUGUGAUGAAUCCACUAGAAGAACGAAAUGAAUCCAAGCCACGAGGAGUUGCAAAAAUCCCAGGAUGCCUGUCACCCUGUGCUCUCACUUUUAUUACAGAAGAAGCUCUGCUAAAAUAAAGGCCCAGCCCUGAUAUAUCAUUCUCUAAUGCCACAAGAACUGUAUAUAAAACACUAUG